GGUUAAGCGACUAAGCGUACACGGUGGAUGCCCUGGCAGUCAGAGGCGAUGAAGGACGUGCUAAUCUGCGAAAAGCGUCGGUAAGGUGAUAUGAACCGUUAUAACCGGCGAUGUCCGAAUGGGGAAACCCAGUGUGUUCCGACACACUAUCAUUAACUGAAUCCAUAGGUUAAUGAGGCGAACCGGGGGAACUGAAACAUCUAAGUACCCCGAGGAAAAGAAAUCAACCGAGAUUCCCCCAGUAGCGGCGAGCGAACGGGGAGGAGCCCAGAGCCUGAAUCAGUGUGUGUGUUAGUGGAAGCGUCUGGAAAGGCGCGCGAUACAGGGUGACAGCCCCGUACACAAAAAUGCACAUGCUGUGAGCUCGAUGAGUAGGGCGGGACACGUGGUAUCCUGUCUGAAUAUGGGGGGACCAUCCUCCAAGGCUAAAUACUCCUGACUGACCGAUAGUGAACCAGUACCGUGAGGGAAAGGCGAAAAGAACCCCGGCGAGGGGAGUGAAAAAGAACCUGAAACCGUGUACGUACAAGCAGUGGGAGCCUCUUAAUGGGGUGACUGCGUACCUUUUGUAUAAUGGGUCAGCGACUUAUAUUCUGUAGCAAGGUUAACCGAAUAGGGGAGCCGGAGGGAAACCGAGUCUUAACUGGGCGUUAAGUUGCAGGGUAUAGACCCGAAACCCGGUGAUCUAGCCAUGGGCAGGUUGAAGGUUGGGUAACACUAACUGGAGGACCGAACCGACUAAUGUUGAAAAAUUAGCGGAUGACUUGUGGCUGGGGGUGAAAGGCCAAUCAAACCGGGAGAUAGCUGGUUCUCCCCGAAAGCUAUUUAGGUAGCGCCUCGUGAAUUCAUCUCCGGGGGUAGAGCACUGUUUCGGCAAGGGGGUCAUCCCGACUUACCAACCCGAUGCAAACUGCGAAUACCGGAGAAUGUUAUCACGGGAGACACACGGCGGGUGCUAACGUCCGUCGUGAAGAGGGAAACAACCCAGACCGCCAGCUAAGGUCCCAAAGUCAUGGUUAAGUGGGAAACGAUGUGGGAAGGCCCAGACAGCCAGGAUGUUGGCUUAGAAGCAGCCAUCAUUUAAAGAAAGCGUAAUAGCUCACUGGUCGAGUCGGCCUGCGCGGAAGAUGUAACGGGGCUAAACCAUGCACCGAAGCUGCGGCAGCGACGCUGAUGCGUUGUUGGGUAGGGGAGCGUUCUGUAAGCCUGUGAAGGUGUGCUGUGAGGCAUGCUGGAGGUAUCAGAAGUGCGAAUGCUGACAUAAGUAACGAUAAAGCGGGUGAAAAGCCCGCUCGCCGGAAGACCAAGGGUUCCUGUCCAACGUUAAUCGGGGCAGGGUGAGUCGACCCCUAAGGCGAGGCCGAAAGGCGUAGUCGAUGGGAAACAGGUUAAUAUUCCUGUACUUGGUGUUACUGCGAAGGGGGGACGGAGAAGGCUAUGUUGGCCGGGCGACGGUUGUCCCGGUUUAAGCGUGUAGGCUGGUUUUCCAGGCAAAUCCGGAGAAUCAAGGCUGAGGCGUGAUGACGAGGCACUACGGUGCUGAAGCAACAAAUGCCCUGCUUCCAGGAAAAGCCUCUAAGCAUCAGGUAACAUCAAAUCGUACCCCAAACCGACACAGGUGGUCAGGUAGAGAAUACCAAGGCGCUUGAGAGAACUCGGGUGAAGGAACUAGGCAAAAUGGUGCCGUAACUUCGGGAGAAGGCACGCUGAUGGUAGGUGAAGCGACUUGCUCGUGGAGCUGAAAUCAGUCGAAGAUACCAGCUGGCUGCAACUGUUUAUUAAAAACACAGCACUGUGCAAACACGAAAGUGGACGUAUACGGUGUGACGCCUGCCCGGUGCCGGAAGGUUAAUUGAUGGGGUCAGCGCAAGCGAAGCUCUUGAUCGAAGCCCCGGUAAACGGCGGCCGUAACUAUAACGGUCCUAAGGUAGCGAAAUUCCUUGUCGGGUAAGUUCCGACCUGCACGAAUGGCGUAAUGAUGGCCAGGCUGUCUCCACCCGAGACUCAGUGAAAUUGAACUCGCUGUGAAGAUGCAGUGUACCCGCGGCAAGACGGAAAGACCCCGUGAACCUUUACUAUAGCUUGACACUGAACACUGGUCCUUGAUGUGUAGGAUAGGUGGGAGGCUUUGAAGUGUGGACGCCAGUCUGCAUGGAGCCGUCCUUGAAAUACCACCCUUUAAUGGCUGGUGUUCUAACGUUGGCCCCUUAUCGGGGUUGCGGACAGUGUCUGGUGGGUAGUUUGACUGGGGCGGUCUCCUCCUAAAGAGUAACGGAGGAGCACGAAGGUUGGCUAAUCCUGGUCGGACAUCAGGAGGUUAGUGCAAUGGCAUAAGCCAGCUUGACUGCGAGCGUGACGGCGCGAGCAGGUGCGAAAGCAGGUCAUAGUGAUCCGGUGGUUCUGAAUGGAAGGGCCAUCGCUCAACGGAUAAAAGGUACUCCGGGGAUAACAGGCUGAUACCGCCCAAGAGUUCAUAUCGACGGCGGUGUUUGGCACCUCGAUGUCGGCUCAUCACAUCCUGGGGCUGAAGUAGGUCCCAAGGGUAUGGCUGUUCGCCAUUUAAAGUGGUACGCGAGCUGGGUUUAGAACGUCGUGAGACAGUUCGGUCCCUAUCUGCCGUGGGCGCUGGAGAACUGAGGGGGGCUGCUCCUAGUACGAGAGGACCGGAGUGGACGCAUCACUGGUGUUCGGGUUGUCAUGCCAAUGGCACUGCCCGGUAGCUAAAUGCGGAAGAGAUAAGUGCUGAAAGCAUCUAAGCACGAAACUUGCCCCGAGAUGAGUUCUCCCUGAGACUUAGAGUCUCCUGAAGGAACGUUGAAGACGACGACGUUGAUAGGCCGGGUGUGUAAGCGCAGCGAUGCGUUGAGCUAACCGGUACUAAUGAACCGUGAGGCUUAACCUU
rnacentral:rRNA from 1 species